rnacentral:rRNA from 1 species
GCUCGUAGUUGGAUUUCGGGUGGGGUGGUGCGGUCCGCCUCUGGUGUGCAGCGGCGCCUUCCAUCCUUCUGUUAACGCUUCUUGGUAUUCAGUUACUGGUAGCGGGCUCAGAUAUUUUACCUUGAGAAAAUUAGAGUGUUCCAGGCAGGCUUGCGCCGGAAUACAUUAGCAUGGAAUAAUAGAAUAGGACUUUAGUCUCCUUUGUUGGUUUGAGGGACUGAAGUAAUGAUUAAUAGGGAUAGUUGGGGGCAUUAGUAUUUAAUUGUCAGAGGUGAAAUUCUCGGAUUUGUUAAAGACUAACUUAUGCGAAAGCUUUUGCCAAGGAUGUUUUCAUUAAUCAAGAACGAAAAGUUAGGGGGAUCAAAAGACGAUCAGAUACCGGCCCUAGUCUUAACCCUUAAACUAUGCCGACUAAGGGAUCGGGAGGCGCGCUUAAUCCGCCUUCGGGACCUUUAUGAAGAAACCAAAGUCUUGGGUUCCUGGGGGGGGGUAUGGUCGCAAAGCUUGAAAACUUAAAGGGAAUUGACGGAAGGGGCAACACCCAGGAGGGGGAGUUUGCGGCCUCAUUUUGACUCAACACGGGGAAAACUUACCCAGGCCCGGACUAGUGGAGGAUUGACAGAUGAUAAGCUCUUUCUUGAUUCUAUGGGGGGUGGUGCAUGGCC